rnacentral:rRNA from 1 species
AUUGAACGCUGGCGGCAGGCCUAACACAUGCAAGUCGAGCGGAGCGGCGGACGGGUGAUUAAUGCCUAGGAAUCUGCCUGGUAGUGGGGGAUCACGUCCGGAAACGGGCGCUAAUACCGCAUACUAUCAGAUGAGCCUAGGUCGGAUUAGCUAGUUGGUGGGGUAAAGGCCUACCCAGGCGACGAUCCGUAACUGGUCUGAGAGGAUGAUCAGUCAAACUGGAACUGAGACACGGUCCAGAGUCCUACGGGAGGCAGCAGUGGGGAAUAUUGGACAAUGGGCGAAAGCCUGAUCCAGCCAUGGCGGGUGUGUGAAGAAGGUCUUCGGAUUGUAAAGCACUUUAAGAUGGGAGGCGUUACCAACAGAAGAAGCACCGGCUAACUGCGUGACAGCAGCCGCGGUAAUAC